rnacentral:rRNA from 1 species
AUUAGCUAGUUGGUGGGGUAAUGGCCUACCAAGGCAACGAUCAGUAGCCGGCCUGAGAGGGUGAACGGCCACAUUGGGACUGAGACACGGCCCAAACUCCUACGGAAGGCAGCAG